CCUACGGGAGGCAGCAGUAGGGAAUAUUGCUCAAUGGGGGAAACCCUGAAGCAGCAACGCCGCGUGGAGGAUGAAGGUUUUCGGAUUGUAAACUCCUUUUGUUAGAGAAGAUAAUGACGGUAUCUAACGAAUAAGCACCGGCUAACUCCGUGCCAGCAGCCGCGGUAAUACGGAGGGUGCAAGCGUUAAUCGGAAUCACUGGGCGUAAAGAGCGCGUAGGCGGGAUAGCAAGUCAGAUGUGAAAUCCUAGGGCUUAACCAUAGAACUGCAUUUGAAACUGUUAUUCUAGAGUAUGGGAGAGGUAGGUGGAAUUCUUGGUGUAGUGGUGAAAUCCGUAGAGAUCAAGAGGAAUACUGAGUGCGAAGGCGACCUGCUAGAACAUAACUGACGCUGAUGCGCGAAAGCGUGGGGAGCAAACAGGAUUAGAUACCCGGGUAGUC
rnacentral:rRNA from 1 species